rnacentral:lncRNA from 1 species
CCUUGGGUCCCGAGACAUCGAUGUCGGCCUUGGGCAGGCUCACAUCCACAUCUGGACCUUCUCCUUUGAAGCCAGGCAUGCUGAAUUUGGGCAUUUUCACCUUGGGCAUCUUCAGGUGCCAGUCUGGGCCAUGAACAUCCACAUCUGGGGCAUCAAUGUCCACUUUGGGGCCCUUGAUGUCAACUUCAGGGGCCUUUAGAUCACCUUCCAUCUUAGGCAGAGAAACAUCCACAUCUCCUUUCACCUUAGGGCCUUUCAGAUGCAAAUCAAAGUCAGGCAUGGAGAUCUUGGGGGCUUUGAUGUUCAUCUCUGGCAUCUUGAAUUUAGGGCCCUUCAGUUUCGCAUCUGGACCUUCAAUAUUCACAUCUGGAACAUCAACGUCCACCUUGGGUCCUGAGACGUCAAGGUCAGCCUUGGGCAGGUUCACAUCCACAUCUGGGCCCUCUCCUUUGAAGCCAGGCAUGCUGAACUUGGGCAUUUUCACCUUGGGCAUCUUCAGGUGCCAAUCUGGGCCAUGAACAUCCACAUCUGGAGCACUAAUGUCAACUUUGGGCCCUUUAAUGUCAACAUCUGGCACUUUCAUUUCACCUUCUACCUCAGGCAAGGACACAUCCACAUCUCCCUUCAAUUUUGGCCCCUUAAGAUUCAGGUCCACAUCAGGCAUGGAGAUCUUGGGGGCCUUGAAGUGCAUCUCAGGCAUCUUAAACUUGGGACCCUU